rnacentral:rRNA from 1 species
UACGUAGGGUGCAAGCGUUGUCCGGAAUUAUUGGGCGUAAAGAGCUCGUAGGCGGUUUGUCGCGUCUGCCGUGAAAACCCGAGGCUCAACCUCGGGCCUGCAGUGGGUACGGGCAGACUAGAGUGCGGUAGGGGAGAUUGGAAUUCCUGGUGUAGCGGUGAAAUGCGCAGAUAUCAGGAGGAACACCGGUGGCGAAGGCGGGUCUCUGGGCCGAUGACUGACGUGAGGAGCGAAAGCGUGGGGAGCGAACAGGA